rnacentral:lncRNA from 1 species
AAAAUGAAAAAGAAGACCAGAAAGGGAAAGAUAGUACUUGUUCUUGAAGAUUCCAUGAUCCUAAAGGAAAUGAGCUCAAUGUGGGUUCCCUACCUUUUGGUAUACUGGGGAUUUCCUUACCCCAAAACAUCCAUAUAAUAUUAUGUUAUCAAAAUACUAAAUGAAAGGAACAAAAUUAGCCGUCUGUGAGAGGAAUGUUGGAGAAAUCAUGAUGACAUAACUAUGUCUUACAUGCAAACGUGACCUAAUUUAUGAACCUCAUUGUGGCGAUGGACAAGUAAUGUAAUGACCUAAUCUGUAGGGAUGGCAAUUGGGACAGGGUAAAGGUUUAACGGGGCAGGGAAGGGCAAUGCUUAAAUAGGGCAGGGCGGGUCAAAGCUUAAAUUUUCAAUAAUUUAAAUAGGGCAGGGCAUGGACAGGUUGUGUAUUGGGUAAUAGCAGGCGGGUCCUUUAUUAAUCUCAUUCGCUUUCACAUUCUGAAAAUCACCUCCA